GAUGAACGCUGGCGGCGUGCCUAAUACAUGCAAGUCGAGCGAACAGAUGAGGAGCUUGCUCCUCUGACGUUAGCGGCGGACGGGUGAGUAACACGUGGAUAACCUACCUCUAAGACUGGGAUAACUUCGGGAAACCGGAGCUAAUACCAGAUAAUAUAUUGAACCGCAUGGUUCAAUAGUGAAAGACGGUUUUGCUGUCACUUAUAGAUGGAUUCGCGCCGCAUUAGCUAGUUGGUAAGGUAACGGCUUACCAAGGCAACGAUACGUAGCCGACCUGAGAGGGUGAUCAGCCACACUGGAACUGAGACACGGUCCAGACUCCUACGGGAGGCAGCAGUAGGGAAUCUUCCACAAAGGGCGAAAGCCUGACGGAGCAAUGCCGCGUGAGUGAUGAAGGUCUUCGGAUCGUAAAACUCUGUUAUUAGGGAAGAACAAAUGUGUAAGUAACUAUGCACGUCUUGACGGUACCUAAUCAGAAAGCCACGGCUAACUACGUG
rnacentral:rRNA from 1 species